AUUCAUACAACAUGGUAACCAGGAAAGUAUCAAGACCCCUGCUAGGAUGCUAUAUGAAAGAAGACAGACAGUAUUGAAGCCCUCAGCCAAUAGACACAAAGCACAGAAGUUAAUUGCCAGAGGAAAAGGAGAAUGUGCACGUGAGGAAGACGGGCUUCUAUGAUAUCCACUGCCUGCCUCUGGCUGGAGUGUAAACAGAUGUGGUAAUGAAGAGAUGAAACUGACAUCUAUGAAGUAUGUGCCAAAAAUAUUUGACCUGCAACCUUUUGGAAACAAACCUGAAAACAUGAGUAGUUUAGCCAAGUCUUACUCACUUAGAAUUGCC